AUGAAUCUGUUCCCAUGCAAUAAUCAAGAAUUCUUGACAGUAUCUAGACGGAACAACCUGUUCUUCCUGAAUACCUUGAUUCAAGGACAAAUAAUUUCGUGCUGUUAUCAUAUAAUAUUCAUCCCAGAUACAUCGUGGUAUGGAAUUCUUUGGACUACAAGAUCAAACCAAAUAGUAGAACAGGGUCUCAUAAAUAAUGUUUAACAAAUUGGAAUUCAUUUAGCAACCGAUUUUUAUCUUCCGUUUGAACUCAUUUCCAUAAUUCUUCCUUUAAUAGGUGCAAUUACUAUGGCUUGGCAAUAA
rnacentral:rRNA from 1 species